UUAAAUAUAAAUUUUAUUAACUCACACAUCAUUUAUAUAAAAAAAAUAUAUUUAUUUAAA
rnacentral:tRNA from 1 species